GGAAGUGGGUUACCAGGUUUCCCUGGUAACCUGGCUCAGGUCGCCACCGGGGCCUGGGCUUCCUGUCCCUCAGUUCCCGCUGGGCGCAGAGUUGACCAAGGCGUAGCUCAGGGUUCAACAGGGAGUUCCUCGCUGUCUCAGCACUUCUGAAACGAGCCUCACUAUCGCAACUGAGCAAAGAAGGAUCCGGAAUCAGGUUGUUGCUAGAACCAGAGAAGGUGCAGGCCACGCCCCCGUUGUCCUGUGCUGCGCCGUUGGUAGACCACAGAGGGCAGCAAUGUCGGCAGGAAAGGCCUGUGCUGAGUAUUGACAGACACCCCUGUGUGUGCUCCUCAUGGAAGCCCUCUGAGGGUCUCUGUGGCUGUCCCUGUUGAGAGCCACAGCCAAAGCGGCCCCAGCAAACUUCCGGCUGAUUGGCUCACAGCGGCCCCAGCAAACU